rnacentral:rRNA from 1 species
GUUUGAUCCUGGCUCAGGAUGAACGCUGGCGGCGUGCUUAACACAUGCAAGUCGAGCGAGAAGUUUAUCAAUGAUUCUUCGGAAGAUUUGAUAAAUGGAAAGCGGCGGACGGGUGAGUAACGCGUGGGUAACCUGCCCUAUACAGUGGAAUAACAGCGAGAAAUCGUUGCUAAUACCGUAUAAGCUCCCAGCAGCGCAUGCUGCAAGGAGAAAAACUCCGGUAGUAUAGGAUGGACCCGCGUCUGAUUAGCUAGUAGGUAAGGUAACGGCUUACCUAGGCAACGAUCAGUAGCCGGCCUGAGAGGGUGAACGGCCACAUUGGGACUGAGACACGGCCCAAACUCCUACGGGAGGCAGCAGUGGGGAAUAUUGCACAAUGGGGGAAACCCUGAUGCAGCGACGCCGCGUGAAGGAAGAAGGUUUUCGGAUCGUAAACUUCUAUCAGUAGGGAAGAAAGUGACAGUACCUAACUAAGAAGCCCCGGCUAACUACGUGCCAGCAGCCGCGGUAAUACGUAGGGGGCAAGCGUUAUCCGGAAUUACUGGGUGUAAAGGGUGCGUAGGCGGCAUCACAAGUCAGAUGUGAAAACCAAAUGCUUAACAUAUGGAUUGCAUCAGAAACUGUGGAGCUAGAGUGCAGGAGAGGAAAGUGGAAUUCCUAGUGUAGCGGUGAAAUGCGUAGAUAUUAGGAGGAAUACCAGUAGCGAAGGCGACUUUCUGGAAUGUAACUGACGCUGAGGCACGAAAGCGUGGGUAGCGAACAGGAUUAGAUACCCUGGUAGUCCACGCUGUAAACGAUGAAUGCUAGGUGUUGGGGUUUAGAUACUUCAGUGCCGAAGUCAACACAUUAAGCAUUCCACCUGGGAACUACGAUCGCAAGAUUGAAACUCAAAGGAAUUGACGGGGGCCCGCACAAGCGGUGGAGCAUGUGGUUUAAUUCGAAGCAACGCGAAGAACCUUACCAAAUCUUGACAUCCAACUGCCGUAUCCGUAAAAGGAUAUUUUCUUCGGAACAGUUGAGACAGGUGGUGCAUGGUUGUCGUCAGCUCGUGUCGUGAGAUGUUGGGUUAAGUCCCGCAACGAGCGCAACCCUUAUCUUUAGUAGCCAGCAAGUGAAGUUGGGAACUCUAGAGAGACUGCCGGGGAGAACUCGGAGGAAGGUGGGGAUGACGUCAAAUCAUCAUGCCCCUUAUGAUUUGGGCUACACACGUGCUACAAUGGCUGCAACAGAGAGAAGCGAAGUAGAGAUACGAAGCAAAGCUCAAAAAAGCAGUCUCAGUUCGGAUUGUAGUCUGCAACUCGACUAUAUGAAGCUGGAAUCGCUAGUAAUCGCGAAUCAGAAUGUCGCGGUGAAUACGUUCCCGGGCCUUGUACACACCGCCCGUCACACCAUGGGAGUCGGGAGCACCCGAAGCCGGUGACCUAACUGCAAAGGAGGAGCCGUCGAAGGUGAAUCUGAUGACUGGGGUGAAGUCGUAACAAGGUAACC